rnacentral:tRNA from 1 species
ACCCAGCUGGCUCAGUCGGAGGAGCAUGUGACUCUUGAUCUCGGGGUCAUGAGUUCAAGCCCCGUGUGGGGUA